GGUGGAGCCGCCGCCUCUCCGACGUGCCCGCUAGUGCUCCGUGCACCCCUCUUCUUCAUCUUCUCCCCCAACCCCUACUCCUCCCAGGACCAACCGUGGUGGACGACAUGCCCGCCGGCGCUCCGUCCUCCCCUCUUCUCCAUCUUCUAUCCUCCCCUUCUCCCUCCUCCAUCCCUGUCCAGUCCCCACCUCCUCUCACCCCUACUCCCCACAGGCCCACGAGGAUCGAGCGUGCGCGGGCGGCGUUGGUGGACGAGUUGGGCGAUGCGUGGAGGACCUCAAGUACUGCCUCCCCUGCACCUCAAUCGUCGUCACGGCUACCAACUUCUUUGUCCCCCAAGUACUGGUUUUCAGCAGAUCCGGGCGAGGUAAUUAAAUGAUGUUGGAGGUUGUGAUGCGGCACAAGUAGCACAAGUUCAUCAUGUCCACUGCCCUUCAUUGAAUAUCAGGUUCAAUUUUCUUGAUUUUUUACUUGAGCUGUUACUCAUAGCAUUUUUUUAAUCUGGGUAUCAUAGAGUUGGUGUAGUUAAAUGAUGUAAGGGGAUAAGGAACAAAAUUGUGUAAGACGAUACUAACCUGUACUCAUAUUAGUCCAACAUUGUUGGAUAUUGCUUGGAGAUUUGCCCUUUUUAUAAGAAAUCAAAAACAGUCUGUAAUCUGGACGUGUACGAACGUUGCGUGAACAUUUUUCUGUUUAAUUUGGGCGUCCAAUCUCUGUAAGCUGGGUGUUGCCUGUACUUUAUAUUAGUCCAAUGUUUGCCAGUUCCUGGUUGAUUCCCUAUUUGAUGUGAAUCCAUGAACAAAUAAGUUUAUGAACAAGUUCUUGUUUGCUUCCUGUUUGAUUCAAGUCUGAAAGAUUCAUAGAUGCUACACUUCAGUUAUAAAUGCACAAAAAGUUAGGACUGAUAAUAUUAUGAAAGAAAUAUGUUCCAUCCGCCCCUACCCCUUGUAAAUAUAUAUUUAAAUGUGCAUGCCCACUUUGUCGGAACACCGCCCAAUGCUGGAAGACAAUCCGCCGUCCGACGGUGUUGCACAGUUCGCCGCAACUUUGUCGGCUGGUUCUUCACUUGAGACCAUCAGCCAUCGCCUAGACCGACUUCGCUGAAGGUAUCUCUUUUUCUUUGUGUAAAUUAUGAUGGAGCUAUGUUUACAGUGAUUUACAGCCAGGGUUUACUGAUGUUUAAACUAGAAAAAUUGAUUUGAGAAAGUAUUUAACGCAAUUGGUCUAUUGCCAUAGGCUCAAGCAAAGCACCUCUUCGAUCUGUACGAUUUGCCAUCUUGUUUCCUUUAUCAAACUAUCUGCAGCAAGUAGAAAUCUGAAUUGAUGCAAGCAAGUAGUAACCAUUAUGGCGGCAAGGUAAACUUCUAAUGUUCCAUCCAGAAUAUCUUCCAGCAAUAUAUGUGAACAGAAAAAUGGUGACCUUUUGAAACAAUUAUAUGGUUCUAUAUAUCCAAAGGAAUUGACGCCAAUUAUUAUCCUGGAAAAGAGUGUUACCUGCCAUAGUGCUUCUUGCUGUACAAAUAUCCGAAUAUUAUAUUUUACACAUGUGACGCAAGUCUUAUUCGUUUGCAAAAAUAUGGUUGUACAAGAUGGAUGCGAACUCCGAAAACAAAAUUUGGGACAACUGCUAGCAUUCAACGCGAACGAAUAUGAAGACAACAUACCUGCCGAUGUACUAGAAUUCCUCAGUUGUAUCAACAAAACCAAAAUUAAAACUGCUAUGACAUGUGCUAUUUAUGAAAAAUGAGCUUCUCUACUACUGGCUGGCAGCCCGUGAUGGUGGUUUUAGAUAUGAAGCUAAGGAAAGCGUGCCUCAUAAUUCAUUGGAUGGCCAAUUAGAUAUUGGUGGCUGUAAAUGACAUGAGUAUUUAGCUUUAAUAAAAUCUACUCCCUCCGUCCCAUAAUAUAAGAACAUUUUUGCUUGAAAAACGUUCUUGUAUUAUGGGAUGAAGGGAGUAGAUAUGUACUCUUGUGGAUGAGGCUGGUACUAAAUGUGCAUUGAAUUUACCAGCAUUGGUUAAUAUUGGUUUUACUGUCGA